ensembl:lncRNA
UGUACACUGCCCCCUGGCUUUCAGAGUCUUGUGAACGCGCUCCACAUGCACGGUUUCUUCUCUCCGUGAGAAGAGAAGCUGUUUGUGUUAGUAACGUUUGUGUUAUCGUUCGUGGACGGUAGAAAACAGCUUUGCUGGGAGCUUUAAACAAGGAUGCUCUUUACUCGAAGACGACGUGGGCUUAACUUUGGAUAUUGGAGCCUGUUUUUAAUCGUGACGUCGAAAAAACGAAGCUUAUCAGCAGCUUUCACCGCCUUAAUGUUUGCUGACGUGUGGGAUCAGGCACAAAGGAGCUGCUAGUAUGUUUUUAGAGCCUCUGCAUGUCGGGGUACUCCAGCUUCCUCCCACAGUCCACAGACAUGCAGUCAGUGGGGUUAGGUUCACUGGUGAUUCUGAAUCGCCCAGAGGUGUGAGUCUGAAUGGUCAUCAGUCCUUUCAGGAAGGAGGAAGAGGGCGACUUUACUUGGUGUCAGAGACAGAAAUGAGAAAAAGCUGAAAUGAGUGAGAAGGACGAUGAAGGAAACAUCUGUGCUGUGUCUGCUCUGUUAGCACCUCAUACCACAGUGCACCAAAAGCAGUCUCAUGAGCGCUGGGAAGGACAAGCCCAGAGCCCAAAACAGACAGUGCAGGAGAUGACAAGCUGUCCUGUGCCAGAUGUUCUGUUGACCCACUGUGAGAGACAUCAUUUAAGAAACACCAGGAAGACUGACUCAUCGCCGGGAUCAAGCAGGGCUCGUGAUCUUCACCAGCAGCUCCCUCACAAGAAGGAUAAACCCAGCAUUUCAUGAACACUGAUGGAGACCUUUGCUUGUGUAAUGUUAGAAGUACUCAGAUAAUCCUCAGAGGGUCUGGACUUUUACAUAAUAUAAUAUCUUUAAGUCCUGUAGAAAGUUAAAUAUAUGUUGUGCUCUCUGGUUACUCUGGUAUGAAUGACUCUGAAUCACUUUAUGGUAAAUAACACACUAUUGUCAUAAAACAGUGAAAGAAUUCCAGAUCACAAGUUUUUAGUUCAAAUACAAGUGACGACCUUUGACUUUAAUCAGGUUUUAUUUAAUUGUGUCAAAGAAAACAUCACAUGCUCUUCAUGUAGCUGAGUAUAUUCAGUGUUUAAAACAGAAGUUGUGCAGGUCUGAGAUCAGCAGUUUCCUGAAACACCAAACUGAGGUCCUGUUAAUGCUGAUGUAUAGUGACACAGUUACAUGGGUGAUUAAUCCUUUUGACUUUUUGUCUUUAACUUUAUCAAUAAAACAGCUGCAGCUUUCACUGACAGCACAUGUGGUACUUUAACCUUUGUACUGUUUUCUUCAGUUAAUUUUGGAGUAACUACAAAGAUUGAAGAUAUAGGAUGAUCUGUCUGCUGUCACUGGAUGGUGCUGAGGUCUGAAUCUGAGGACGGCUCCUGUAAUCACAAACAGAACAGAAUCAUCACAAACUGAAAUAUAAAGUUUAUCUCUCAAAUCUGAAAUAGAGCUGAUUCAUUCUGUGUCCUCACACACUCGGGAUCUGAAGUUGUUCAGUCCUACAGUUCUGCCGACAGCUGUUUAUUUAUUAUUUGUUUUAAAGGCCUUAUAUACUAACACAUUUUCUAAUAUCAUGUUUACCUUUGAGUUGUUUGCUUUAUAAAUGGACAUCUGCAAAGAUGAGAUGAUGGAGCAGGUUUCAGUCAAGGUUCAGUCUGCUGCUGCAUCCUGGUCACAACAUACGGAGGUGUUAUCAGCAGUGGUAUUGAACAAGAAAUAUUAAUGUUUCAAAUUAUUUGUCCUAAAGGAUGCAAGCUGUACAGAGUACUGCACAUGUGACUUUGUGAACAUAACUCAUUAAAAAUAAUUCGGACAGUUUUUAACCUGAAUAUUUGUAACAAACUCAGUAAAAAAUGCUAAAAAAAAAAAAAAUUGAGGAAAAAUGUAACAUUUUAACCUAAGCUUAAGCUUAACUUAAAUGGAUUGAAACAAAAAAAAUGGAUUGAAACUGAAAAAAAAUUGUAACUGAAAAGAAAAAAAUAGUUUCAAUUAAUUUUUUUUCGGCUUCAACACAAGAUUUCUCAGUACAUUUAUUUCAGUUACAAUAUUUUUUUCGGUUUCCUUUCAAGGUAUGGAGUUAAAUCAGGGCCAUAAUGUUUGUUUAGUUAAAAAAAAAUUUGAAAUCGAAAAUAUGUAAACUGAAAGCAAAAGUCACAUUUUUAGAGUGAACUUUGAAAAAGAAAGAGUUGGAUUUAAAAUUUUCAGAUUCAGAUCUUUUAAAUUAAUGUACAAAAAAAAAUUCUUCAGAUUCGGAUUUUUCUCUCAGCUUCAAUUUUUUUUUUUUCACUUUCAGAUCUCUAUUUUUCAGUUACAGACUUUUGGCCCUGUUUUGGCGUGGUGGGCGUGGCUACACACAGAGGGGCGGGGAAUCAUGAGUGACAGCAGACCGCUGCAGGCUCAAGAUGGUCCAUUUUUCAUGUUGCCUUCAGGAAACCUGGGAAUGAACAUAAUUUAUCAAACACCUCCUGCACUGUAUUAUUUGAUAAUGUUUAGAAAACAUGUCAUGCAUAACUGCUAAAACUCAGUUACUAAAGCUCUUUCAAGCAGUAAUGUGUACAAAUUACGCCGUAACUGAUCAAUUAUGAGACGUUUUCCCAGCCACUACGUGAGAAGUGGUCAUUCCCCAUUACAUAUUUUCGAUUUCAAAUUUUUUUUUAACUAAACAAACAUUAUGGCCCUGAUUUAACUCCAUAUCAAGGUGGCAUCGUUCUGAUCCCAUAAUAGGCC